CCCUUAUCAAGAGAGGUGGAGGGACCUGGCCUAAGGAAGCCUCGGCAACUGAACAUUUCGGUGCCAAAUCCAGCAGAGGGAUCUGAGAGAUAAGGG
rnacentral:ncRNA from 1 species